rnacentral:rRNA from 1 species
UACGGGGGGGGCAAGCGUUGUUCGGAAUUACUGGGCGUAAAGGGCUCGUAGGCGGCCAACUAAGUCAGACGUGAAAUCCCCAGGCUCAACCUGGGAACUGCGUCUGAUACUGGAUGGCUUGAGUUCGGGAGAGGGAUGCGGAAUUCCAGGUGUAGCGGUGAAAUGCGUAGAUAUCUGGAGGAACACCGGUGGCGAAGGCGGCAUCCUGGACCGAUACUGACACUGAGGAGCGAAAGCCAGGGGAGCAAACGGG